rnacentral:snoRNA from 1 species
AAGCAACACUCUGUGGCAGAUGAUUGAAACUGUCUGACACAAUUUGAGCUUGCUAUAGCAAGAAAGUCUCCUCUAUUCGGUGCUCUCUCCUUUAUGAGACAAGCUGUUAUAUAGACUUAAACAGU